rnacentral:lncRNA from 1 species
AUUACCAACGAUUUCCCGAUAUUUUUUUGUAAGGAUGGAUUUGAAAAUGUCGUCUUGGAAACUGAGUUUUCAUUAAAAACAUAUGAUCAAGAAACACACGAGAAUUGUACCUAGAUCGAGACAAUAUUAAGGCAAUCAUGAUAGACAUGCUUGCAGCAGCAAUGGACACUUCAAGUACAGCAAUAGAAUGGGUCAUUGCAGAACUUCUAAAACAUCCUCAUCUUACAUAACAUUCAAUGUCUGUGUUUCUAACUAAGGUGGUUGUGGGUACUGUGCACUAAGGUGCGCAAGCUCGUCAGUCUGCCAGUCGACAGUUUGUGUAGGGUCUUGGGUGUACAUGCGACAAACCUGACAUUGUAAUAAAAUUAAGUACCAUAGAAACAUUGUUACCUGCAAACUAUGGCGAAUAGAGUUUGAUACUUGCAGAUUCAGUUGCCGAGAAAAUACGCCAUAUCCUUUUUGGUGCCGAGAAAAUACGCCAAAGCCUUCAUAGCUUGUUCCUACAAUUUGUAUUGUAAACAAAUAAGUAACUACAACAACUGGACACAAGGAUGACGGAUAUAUUGAACAAUUUGCGCAAAAUAACAACAACCCACCAAAAAUAUUAAAAUCAGUCAUACCAAGCUUUAUUUUAGCUUUCAACAUCCAUGGAAAAAUAUCAAAAUCGUAUUUUUAUUGAAAUUAAUAACAAGUUUUCUUGCUCACAAAAUCCCAAAAAUAAAAACCCCAUCUAUUUGAAGAAGCAAUUUUGAAUUCUCAAUUUACAUAUAUAAAGAACAAUAAAAAUCUAUUUCAAUGGAGAAAGUUUUAAUAUAUCAACUUACCUUGUUGAUUAAAGGAAGAAGAAAGAGUGUUCCAGAUCUGGAAAUUUGUAAUCACUCCUGAACCAAUUUAGCAACAGAGAAUAGAAGAGAGGGAGAAGAAGAAUGAGGGGGAAAGAGUUAACCUAGAAUGAGAGAGAAGAAGAAGGAAGGAGACGCCAUUACUGCUUCAGGAAGAGAGAAAGAGAAAAAAAAAAAAAAUAGAUCGAGAAGAAAGAAGAGAGAAAAAGGAAAGCGGUUUCCGAAAAAUAAAAAAAGCAUCCGCUUUCCGUAUUUUUAGAGCAACUCGAAAUCACAGGGAAUUUGCUUUCCAAAUUUUUUUAGUUUUCCUUUUGAACCAAACAAUGGAAUUUCAACUUUCCA